rnacentral:lncRNA from 10 species
GGAGAGGAGAGAGAGAUGAAGAGAUAGAGAGGAGGAGAGGGAAGGGAGGAUAGGCAGGAGAGAGCCAAAAAGAUAGAGAGUGAAAGGAAGAGAGAGAUAAGAGAGAAGGAAAGAUGAGAGGGAGGAAGAUGGAGAAAGUAGAAGAGCAGGAAACAACAGUUGGAGAGAGAGAAAGAAGGAGAGAGAGAAAGAGAGACACUGAGCCCUGGGGACAGAGGGAAGGACAGCUGGGCUGGAGGCAGGGGGCCUGGGAGCCUGGUCAAGUCAGUCCAUGAGGCUGCUCUGAGACGUCACUGGGGGCAGGGAGAGAGUUAUCCAGAACUUUAGUACAGUCUUCUUUCUAGAAAACAGUGCUACCAGAAAGGGCUUAUGUCCAGAUCUGAGGUGCACUUACUUGUUCCCGAAGAUCCAAAUCUAAGUUGCUUUUAGAUUCUACUCUGUGCUUCCACGGAGUCUACUCUAACGACCUUGGCCAGGUCUCUGGCCUCCAUCAAGGAACGACCAGAAUUCCUGGGUCUGGCCACAGGUUUUGGCCCCGCCUCAGAGGGUUGGGUGAGGGGGCUUAGCAGGUGUAGGAGAGCUUGCUCUGGGCAGUAGCUGUGGGCCUUACUUCUGUAUUUGCCGCAGUAUCUGAUUUGCCCUGUAGAGCAUUUAUGUCACUAGGUUUUUACAAAAGUUGCUUUUUGACUUAUUGCCUUAGUGACGAGUUGUCAGGUUUUUCUCUGUUUAAGUGGCUACAGCUGAAUAGCUCAGGCCAAACUUAAAGCUCACACUUGAGACUUGACGUGCUCAGCUCCUGCUAAAGAGGCUCCAGGGCAGCGCCUGCCUUUCCGGGAAGCUCCCCUGAGGGUCACCGAGGCUGCAGAGAACACCCGGUGAUGACUGCAUGGAUCUCCUUCAUCUGCUGGGAUUCAAGCUGUGUUGCUGCUUCUAACUACUUGACACAAGCUGGGCCAAACUGGUUCACAAAAUGGAUGGCCAUUGGAUAACUCCCAAAAUGUAUGUUACAAAAGGAUGCAUAAAUGUAUAAUAAAAACAGCUCUGCGAUUGGGAUG